CCUACGGGUGGCAGCAGUGAGGAAUAUUGGUCAAUGGCCGGAAGGCUGAACCAGCCAUGCCGCGUGAAGGUCAGUGCCCUAUGGGCGUUAAACUUCUUUUGUGCGGGAGCAAUAAUGGUCACGUGUGGCCAGACGAGAGUACCGUACGAAUAAGCAUCGGCUAACUCCGUGCCAGCAGCCGCGGUAAUACGGGGGAUGCAAGCGUUAUCCGGAUUUAUUGGGUUUAAAGGGUGCGUAGGCUGUGAGGUAAGUCAGCGGUGAAAUGCCCCCGCUCAACGGGGUGAAGUGCCAUUGAUACUGCCUGGCUGGAAUGCUGAUGCCGUGGGAGGAAUGUGUGGUGUAGCGGUGAAAUGCAUAGAUAGCACACAGAACACCGAUUGCGAAGGCAUCUCACGAAUCCGCGAUUGACGCUGAUGCACGAAAGCGUGGGUAUCAAACAGGAUUAGAUACCCUUGUAGUC
rnacentral:rRNA from 1 species